rnacentral:tRNA from 1 species
UGUUCUGUGGCAGAGUUGGUUAACGCGCCCUGUCUAGCGAACUUGGGGAGACGUGGGUUCAAAUCCCACCAGAACUA